ACCCGUGAGGGGACGGCGAUGUCGCCGUCAGGUCGCGGAGUGGUGGCCGUUCUGCCUCGGUUCUCUGCUGAAGUGUGGAGUCUGUCUCCUCGCCCCCUGUUUUCAAAGUAGUUUUACUUGAACAAAAUCGAGGAAAAUUCAGAGCGAACAAAAUGGUGGUCGAGUUAAGGGUAGAAAUACAGCAGAAGCUGCUGGCACUACAGUUCUUGCAAUGUUGAGAUAAGGAGGGUUGUGAUGCCAUGGAGACACUGUGUUCCCAGCCCUCCCUGGUGACUGAAUCCCCUUUCAGCUCUUUAAGAGAAAAUAUGCAUAAUUCUCAGUUAAUCCUGCUCUUUGUAUCCAUGUAUACAACAAUCUUUGAGGAAAAUGGAACUGUUGCCUUAUUCAGGAUAAGGGACCAUUGGGUUUAUUGAGGAGCAGUUUCUGAUCAAAGGAAUCUGUAUGACCACUAAAACGAGUUUGUUGUUUCAAAACCGCUGCUCUGUGUCUAGUUCAAUUACUCCAUCUCCGCCUUCUCGGUCUGUGGAAGAAGGGGAGGAAGGGAAUUGUUGCAAACCUGUUGCUAUGGCCACGUAGCAGGGGCUGGGCUGCUUGUGUGGCUGGAAUCCUCUGCAUCAGCUGCUGCUCGACUUGUAGAAUUUAACUGAACUUGGAGGAUGAAGUCCAGCCUAAUGCAUUUGGUUCCCCCAGUGAGUAGAGAAAGAAUAAUCUCCCAGUUUCCCAAGUGGUACACACCUGAAGCCUGUCUGCAGUUCAAAGAGCACUUCCAUGCACAGGUCAGGACUGCUUGUCAGCAGAGCACUGGAACAGCUGGGCUGAAGAUAUCCAAAGUGGUUGUGGUAGGAGACCUGCAUGUUGGGAAAACCAGUCUUAUCAACAGAUUUUGUAAAGAUAAUUUUGACCGGGACUACAAGGCAACCAUUGGAGUAGAUUUUGAGAUUGAACGUUUUGAGAUAAUUGGAAUGCCAUAUAACCUCCAGAUAUGGGACACAGCAGGUCAGGAGAAGUUCAAGUGCAUUGCAUCUGCUUACUACCGAGGAGCAGAGGUUAUAAUAACAGUGUUUGAUCUGGCUGAUAUCCAAACUUUGGAUCACACCAAACAGUGGUUAGAAGAUGCAUUGAGGGAGAAUGAGCCAGAUUCCAGCUUCAUCUUUCUGGUUGGAACAAAAAAAGAUUUGGUGCUGUUCCGUGUUGUUUGCCCAGUCAGGUGCUGUGUGUGCAAGGACAGAGCUGGAUGCCAUCCGUUUUGCCAAGGAGAUGCAGGCAGAGUACUGGUCGGUUUCAGCCAAAACAGGAGAAAAUGUCAAAGAAUUCUUUUCUCGAGUUGCUGCCUUGGCCUUUGAACAGUCCAUGAUAAAGGAGCUGGAGAGUAUUCCUGGGCACAGGACCCAAAUUGGGGCAGGAAAUCUCAUCAAACUAGAGAAGAACAUUUUGGAAGUCCCAGAAGACAAUGCUCAAGGCAGCCUGAGUUGUUGCUGACUGUCAACUGUUCCUGCAAGUGCCACACUACUCUGCAACAAUGCUCUCAAACCAGAAAUAGAGAGCUUUAAUUUUAGAAAUGAGGGAGGAAAAACUUACUCAAACUUUCUUGCUGAGAGUUCCCUUGCUGCUGCAGGCUCCCUGUGCAGGGUGGUACAAUUGUUAUGCAAACCUUUCUCUGUGUAGCUGAAACACAGCAUCCUUGUCUUAAUGCAAGAAGACAUUGCCAGUGCCCUGGGCUCACCUGUCUGCCAAAAAGGCUUGUAGUCAAAAAUGAUGUCAUUUGAGUGUGUUGUUUUUUAAUAAUUCUCUAGAAAUCUUAGCUAGUGAAGUGGCAUUCUCUUGUGGGAGCAGGAAACAAGUGGCAGUUCAGAAUGAAGGGUGGUAUCAAUAUGAUUUUACCUUUUAAAACCAUCGUGUAAAAUACCUCUGAUUGCUUUUAUGCCUUCCAAGUAUUUUAAAACUAUUUGAAAAUCAAUCUUUUUAAGUAUCAGGCCUGGAAGUACACAAAUGCAGACUGCAUAGUUUCCAUUGUGGUUUCUCCAUCCAGGAAAAAUGUUUAUUACUUUUCAUUUUCCACUUGAGAAUCAGAGGCCAGUAUUAAAUAUUUCCAAGCCUAAAAGAAGUCCAGGUAGGAACUUGGUUGUUUUAACACAGCUGUCUAAUAUUUUGAAAAAUGUUGCCAGAUAAGAAUGCUAUUAUUUUCCAUUCUCUUGAAUAAGAAAGAAUGGUCACACAGGUGCAUAAAAUGGAAAAUAUAUUAUUUCCCUCUAUUUUUUCCAAUAGCUCUCUGAACUUUAAUACUCUGUUGUAUCUAGCUUAGAAUUCCAUGUUUCUAUUAUUAAUAUCCAGCAUGUCAGGCUUGCUGGCAUUAAAAACCAUAUAUAUAAUGCUCCAAACUUCAUAUUGCAAUUAUUUUAAAUGAAGAGAAGGAAAACCUAUGAACAGUUACAAGGUACUGUUUCUUAGGAUAUUGAUUCAAUCAUUGCAGAAACAACACUAUCUUUAAAAAUUAUUAUAACAGGACUUAGAUUUGAGCUGUUGAGAAAUAGAGACAUUUGUUAAUAAAGAAAUGCAUCAAUCUGAAAAUAUUCUGGAUUCUCUGCCAUUUUUCCCACUUUGAUAAGAAAUUGGAAAAAGUAGAGAAAAGAUAGCUUGAGCAUGCUUUUUAUUGCUUUUUCCCUUUUGACAUAAGUUAGAGCAGCUUCCUAGAAUAUGAUGAAUAGAGAUCUAGGAACUCUGUGUCUUUUUCAUCAGACAAUCUUCACUUUGGCAAUUGUGCUGCCUGUUGGCAAGGACACAAAUGUAGCAUUUGGUGGAAAAAAUGAAUCUGUGAGGGUACAAAAGGAGCUCUUUAUCCAAAUGUGUAAUAUUUCGACCUUAUGAUGUUCUAUGCAGUUGUUCAAUUCCAGAGUCUGUUUCAGCAGGGUUCAAUUCCAGAGUCUGUUUCACAAAGGAGGUGAAUUUACACUGUGCUCUGAAUUUACACUGUGCUCGUGCUGGAUGGGCAGUGUGGCCACAGUCUUUGUGUUUCCUGAGCCUGAGUGAGAGUGGAGGUGGUUCACUCUGCUGCAGCAGAUCAGCUUAGCUGGGCUUCAGUGCUGACAUGAAAAACAGUGUUUACACUGCAAAAUGACUCAGGAACAAAUCUAAGGAGACAUCCAUUUUUGGUGGGUUUUUUUUUCCCACCAAGAAAUAUAUCUCCUAAGGGUUUCUGUUGCUGACUCAAUUAUUGUACAAAGUCACAGAGAUGCAAUCUCUUCAACAACACGAUCAUGUUGCCUGGGAAAUCAGCUGGGACAGUUUUUUCCUAGGGAUUCAGCACAUUGCAUGAUGUCAUUACUGUUUUGUAUCAUCUGGAGCUCCAAAAACUUCACGUACAAAUGUAAUACUCUAUCAGUCAUCAGCUAUCAUGGGACAAUAGCCUGAGUCUGUUUAUUAAAUGAUGGAUGCUUUGAGACUGGGUGGUUUUUUUGGUGGUUUGUUGGGUUUUUUGUUGUAAUUUUCUGUUUGUGUGUUUGUGUUUGGGGUUUUUUUGCUUGCUUGGUUGGUCUUAAGGGUGUUUUUAUCACCACCAAAACCUCCUCUGCAAAGAACUGCAUAUUAAUAAUUUAUCAUCUAAAAUGAAUCUUGGAUCAUAUUGCAAAUGAUGAGUUGCUUAGAAAAACACAAAGGAAACUAACUAUAGAAAAUAAAUACAAAUUUGUAAGUUG